rnacentral:rRNA from 1 species
UACGGGGGGGGCAAGCGUUGUUCGGAUUCACUGGGUUUAAAGGGUGCGUAGGUGGGUCUGUAAGUCAGUGGUGAAAUCCCCGAGCUUAACUUGGGAACUGCCGUUGAUACUAUAGAUCUUGAAUAUCGUGGAGGUAAGCGGAAUAUGUCAUGUAGCGGUGAAAUGCUUAGAUAUGACAUAGAACACCAAUUGCGAAGGCAGCUUACUACACGAUCAUUGACACUGAGGCACGAAAGCGUGGGGAGCAAACAGG